ensembl:lncRNA
ACUCCUGGAGCCGCAGCGGGGCAGGUACCCGCUCCUGCACCUGUUUCUCUUGCACCUGCUGCACAGCUGCUCCUACCCAGCUCUCCCGGCCCGAGCCUUGCCUGGUGUGCGGGUGGCACCCCGGAGGCACCCCCACCUCCCGCCAGUCUCCCUGGGGGCAGCUCCUACACUCUGCUCCUUCUCUAGGGCAUAUCUCGACUCCAGUCCGGAGCAGUCAGGAUAACAGAAAGCCCCACAGCGCCAUGACCGAAGUUGGUUGGUGGAAGCUGACCUUCCUCCGGAAAAAGAAAUCCACCCCCAAGGUGUUGUAUGAGAUCCCUGACACCUACGCCCAGAGCGAGGGCGGUGCGGAGCCCCCGAGGCCGGACAGCGGGAGCCCAGACAGCGAGUUUAACACCCGCCUGGAGAAGAUUGUGGACAAGAACACGAAGGGCAAGCACGUCAAAGUCUCCAAUUCGGGCCGCUUCAAAGAGAAGAAAAAAAUCCGGGCCACACUGGCGGAGAACCCCAGCCUCUUUGAUGACAGGGAGGGCAAAGGACAGUGAAGGGGACCAAGGAGGAUGCUAGGCACCUCCUGGCUCGCUGCCGUCAGCUGGCUCUGAGACGGGAGCUUGCCACGCUGGCCUCUUUGGCCACAGCUGAAGCCGUGGGGGUAGGUGAUGCCUGCUGGCAGGAAAGGUCUGGUUUUAGGUUGGUAUUUAUGUGCUCCCGUGUUCUGGAAGGCCUGAGAGAUCCCAGGCCUUCCCACCCUCCCCCGCCACACACAAAGGCCCUCCAGCUCAAGGAUGGAAAGUCCUGGAAGCAGGGGCAGUGCCGGCAGGGUGGUGGGUAUGACAAGGAAUGGAGAGAGGGAGCCGGAUCGAUCUCACCUCCUCCUGGGUAUGGGGUCAAGGGUGAGUGUGAACUGCUGCUCCCUCUACUUUCUCUACCUGUGAUUGUUCCCCGGACCAGUUCUGAGAGUGUAGUUUCCAGAAGUCACGUGACGGUGGGUGGUUUCCGGGAGUUGAGCCCAGAGAUGCUGAACUUGAGCUCACCUCCUAAGGCGAGUGGGACACUUCCUGGAACUUUGCCCCCAAGGUGUGCAGGAGGAGGGGGACCCUGGUACUCCAAGGGGGUGCUGCCAAAGGCCAGAUUAGGGACCCCACAGGUUCCUGCACACCUUCAAAGGGAAGCUACACUUCCCCCACCGGCCCAAACUCGGAAAGAGGGUGGAGAAGCUUUAAAAGCAACCAGUUCUGUGUCCUCCUCUCCCUGCUAAUAUUUAAGAAUGGAUCAGCCCCAGAGAUAAGUCCUGGAGCCUUGAAUUUUGCUUAAAAAAAAAUGAUAGGUUUCUCUUUUUGUAAUAAACAAUGCUGCAAAAGCAGAGAACCUAUUUAUGCUCUUGUCUUGAAUUUAGUAAGAUGCUGUUUUUCAUGCCUUUGCUCCUUUCAUGUGAGUAAAAUGGAAUUUUGUGC